AUUUGGAGAAACGCUAUUUACCUGUUCAUUGAACUUCAACUUCAACAUAAAUAAAGAUUCAGGCAACAGGUUAAAGUGGGUCCAGUUUCUUUGCUCCUGCAGAACAAAAAGCUCUGAUGAGCCAAAUGUUACUGAUGCUCAUGUGAGACCAUUUCAACAUGUGCAGAUACAGUUAAUCAAUGGUCAUGUGCUGUAACCAUGGCGACAUGGAACUCACUCCCUCUAACAGGAGAAAGAUCUAGAGAGUUCUAUACCAAAACAACUGCGAUAGAGAGAGGUUAAUCUCCUCAGAGGGAAGUGACUGCAGGUCUCAGGAUGGCAGCCUCAGCCCGGCCAAGUCAAUAAAUAGAGAGAGAGAGCGUGUCAUGACCAUCAAUGUGCAAAAGACCUCCAAAGAAUGCAAGCGGCCAUUGUGCUUCCUGGUAGUUGUAGUCCUAAGGGAAGGACAGCGGUACUGUAAGUUUGUAACAAGGUGUAGCGACAUGGAGGAGAAAGAUAGAAAGAAGGAAAAGAAAGAAGAGGCAAGAGAAAUGAAGAAAGGGAAGAUGAAAGAAGAAAAGGAAAAGAAGAACAGACGAAAACAGGAAGAAAAGGAAAGACUUAAGAAAGAAAAAAAAGAACUCCCAAGAAGAGAAAAGGAAAGAAAGAAGAGUGAAAAGGAAGAAGAAAGAAGAAGAUGACACAGAAACAACCAAUUUUACCAAUCCUCAUCACUAAAACCAUCACGAUUUCCCCCUCCACCGCCACCUCUAUUCCCCCCUUCUCCCCCGCCGUCAUUCGAACCCUCCUGAUCAUAAAGAAACAACAAGAAAAUGAGAGAGAAAGAAAGAAGAAAGAAGAAGAUGAAAGGGAACGGAAGAAGAAAGAAGAAGAUGAUCAAACGGAAAGACUUUAAAAACUGAAAAUUCAACACAUAGACAGGAUGUCAAAGAAAUAAAACAAAAAAUUAAAAAACUUACACACCCUCA